AUUGAACGCUGGCGGCAGGCCUAACACAUGCAAGUCGAGCGAGCGGCGGACGGGUGAGUAAUGUCUGGGAAACUGCCUGAGGGAGGGGGAUAAAUACUGGAAACGGUGGAUAAUACCGCAUACCAUCAGAUGUGCCCAGAAGGGAUUAGCUAGUGGGGGGGGUAAUGGCUCACCUAGGCGACGAUCCCUAGCUGGUCUGAGAGGAUGACCAGUCACACUGGAACGGAGACACGGGCCAGACUCCUACGAGAGGCAGCAGUGGGGAAUAUUGCACAAUGGGCGCAAGCCUGAUACAGCCAUGCCGCGUGUGUGAAGAAGGCCUUCGGGUUGUAAAGCACUGUCAGCGGGGAGGCGUUACCCGCAGAAGAAGCACCGGCUAACUCCGUGCCAGCAGCCGCGGUAAUUC
rnacentral:rRNA from 1 species